rnacentral:rRNA from 1 species
UACGUAGGUGGCAAGCGUUGUCCGGAAUUAUUGGGCGUAAAGCGCGCGCAGGCGGUCCUUUAAGUCUGAUGUGAAAGCCCACGGCUCAACCGUGGAAGGUCAUUGGAAACUGGGGGACUUGAGUACAGAAGAGGAAAGCGGAAUUCCACGUGUAGCGGUGAAAUGCGUAGAGAUGUGGAGGAACACCAGUGGCGAAGGCGGCUUUCUGGUCUGUAACUGACGCUGAGGCGCGAAGGCGUGGGGAGCAAACAGG